rnacentral:rRNA from 1 species
UGCAGUCGACGGUAGCACAGAGGAGCUUGCUCCUUGGGUGACGAGUGGCGGACGGGUGAGUAAUGUCUGGRAAACUGCCCGAUGGAGGGGGAUAACUACUGGAAACGGUAUCUAAUACCGCAUAACGUCGCAAGACCAAAGAGGGGGACCUUCGGGCCUCUUGCCAUCGGAUGUGCCCAUAUGGGAUUAUCUARUAGGUGGGGUAACGGCUCACCUAGGCGACGAUCCCUAUCUGGUCUGAGAGGAUGACCACCCACACUGGAACUGAGACACGGUCCACACUCCUACGGGAGGCAGCAGUGGGGAAUAUUGCACAAUGGGCGCAAGCCUGAUGCACCCAUGCCGCGUGUAUGAAGAAGGCCUUCGGGUUGUAAAGUACUUUCAGCGAGGAGGAAGGUGUUGUGGUUAAUAACCGCAGCAAUUGACGUUACUCGCAGAAGAAGCACCGGCUAACUCCGUGCCAGCACCCGCGGUAAUACGGAGGGUGCAAGCGUUAAUCAGAAUUACUGGGCGUAAAGCGCACGCAGGCGGUCUGUCAAGUCGGAUGUGAAAUCCCCGGGCUCAACCUGGGAACUGCAUCCGAAACUGGCAGGCUAGAGUCUUGUAGAGGGGGGUAGAAUUCCAUGUGUAGCGGUGAUAUGCGUAGAGAUCUGGAGGAAUACCGGUGGCGAGCGCGGCCCCCUGGACAAACACUGACUCU